GUGGAUAAGACAUGCAAGUCGAACGGAUCAGUCUUGUAGCAAUACCGGACUGGUUAGUGGCGAACGGGUGCGUAACACGUGGAUACAUUGGAGAAGCGGGGAAUAGCCCAGGGAAACUUGGAUUAAUGCCGCAUGUGGUCGCAAGACUAAAGAUGGGGACCGCAAGGCCUGUCACUUCUCUGUUGGUCUGCGGCCUAUCAGCUAGUUGGCGGGGUAAUGGCCCACCAAGGCGACGACGGGUAGCUGGUCUGAGAGGACGACCAGCCACACUGGAACUGAGACACGGUCCAGACACCUGCGGGUGGCAGCAGUCGAGAAUCUUUCACAAUGGGGGCAACCCUGAUGGAGCGACGCCGCGUGAAGGAUAAGGUCUUUGGAUUGUAAACUCCUGUCAUGCGAGAGCAAGGUACGUCAGUUAACACCUGGCGUGCUUGAUAGUAUCGCAAGAGGAAGAGACGGCUAACUCUGUGCCAGCAGCCGCGGUAAUACAGAGGUCUCAAGCGUUGUUCGGAAUCACUGGGCGUAAAGGGUGUGCAGGCGGUGUGCUAAGUCAGAUGUGAAAGCCCGGGGCUCAACCUCGGAACUGCAUCCGAUACUGGCAUGCUAGAGAAUUGGAGAGGAGUCUAGAAUUCACGGUGUAGCAGUGAAAUGCGUAGAUAUCGUGAGGAA
rnacentral:rRNA from 1 species